rnacentral:hammerhead_ribozyme from 1 species
AUCCAGAUGACGAGUCCAGAAUAGGACGAAAUGAGCAUUGUGGAU